rnacentral:rRNA from 1 species
ACGAGCGCAACCCUUGUCUUAAUUGCCAUCAUUUAAUUGGGCACUUUCUUGAGACUGCCGGUGACAAACCGGAGGAAAGGGGGGAGGACAUCUAGUCCUCAUGGCCCUUAUGGGUAGGGCUUCACACGUGUUACAAUGGUCGGUACAGAGGGUUGCCAAGCCGCGAGGUGGAGCCAAUCCCACAAAGCCGAUCGUAGUCCGGAUAGCAGUCUGCAACUCGACUGCGUGAAGUCGGAAUCGCUAGUAAUCGCGGAUCACCAUGUCGCGGUGAAUACGUUCCCGGGUCUUGUACCACCCGCCCGUAUUA